UACAGAGGGUGCAAGCGUUAAUCGGAUUUACUGGGCGUAAAGCGCGCGUAGGUGGCCAAUUAAGUCAAAUGUGAAAUCCCCGAGCUUAACUUGGGAAUUGCAUUCGAUACUGGUUGGCUAGAGUAUGGGAGAGGAUGGUAGAAUACCAGGUGUAGCGGUGAAAUGCGUAGAGAUCUGGAGGAAUACCGAUGGCGAAGGCAGCCAUCUGGCCUAAUACUGACACUGAGGUGCGAAAGCAUGGGGAGCAAACAGG
rnacentral:rRNA from 1 species